GCCAAAGGAUGAUCCAACUCUGUUUGAUUUGUCUCAGUAGUUAGAGUUGUCUUCUCUGAAUUGCCAUCCAGUGACAGAUGAAGAUGAGAGUAUACCACCUUCUAAAGAGACAUGCCAUAGUUAUAACUGAGUUUUAGGUGGAUUUAUGAAUUUCAAGCCACAAAACGGGUUCAAAAGGAGAAGGAAUUCACAAAAAGUUAAGAGAAAGAAAAAGUGUCAGGAUACAGAGCUGAAGCCAUCAAGC
rnacentral:lncRNA from 1 species